rnacentral:misc_RNA from 1 species
GUAUUUAGUUUAAAGGCGCUAGGCCUUGACAUACAUUCUGAUACAUACAUUCGGAGUAUAUGAAACAUAGACCAAGAAACACAAGAACAGCUGGCUUGCGCGCAGCAGUCCUCAAUCCGAGUUGCCUCGAGAAACGUUUCCAAGUCUACAAAAGGUGCACAGGUGGUUAAAAUUGGUGGCAAACGUGCACAUGCCCCGAAGGACCAGCAACAGCUUGACCAAGUUUAUUCAAUAAUGAUCCUUCCGCAGGUUCACCUACGGAAA